rnacentral:rRNA from 1 species
UACGGGGGGGGCAAGCGUUGUUCGGAAUUACUGGGCGUAAAGGGCGCGUAGGCGGUUUGAUAAGGGUGUGGUGAAAGUCCGGGGCUCAACCCCGGAUCUGCCGUGCCGACUGUCAAACUCGAGGGCUGUAGAGGCAGACGGAAUUCCGGGUGUAGCGGUGGAAUGCGUAGAGAUCCGGAGGAAGACCGGUGGCGAAGGCGGUCUGCUGGGCAGUUUCUGACACUGAGGCGCGACAGCGUGGGGAGCAAACAGG